rnacentral:lncRNA from 1 species
CCGAGACCGGCGUCUGGCGUCACCUCCCUGUGAUGUGGCCAUGCUAUGCAACGUGCCGGGGGGUACUCUUACUCAUCUCUUAGCCUCCGCCUCUUCCUCAGCGCUGGCCCUCACAGCCUCCUGGCUAAAGGGUCAGGCAGUGAUCAGGGCCUGGCCCACAGCGGGGACUCGACCGGGCAUGAAGAGUGGGACUGCAUCGUGGACCUCCUGCCUGGGUGGCCUCAGCCUCCUCCGUUCAGCAUUUACUGAGUACUUCAGCCUGGCAGGCACACUACAGCCUGCCUGCUCUUAAGAACACUGGAAAGCACUUCAGCACUACGCUUGGGGCCACUUAAAAUAGCGAAAUCACCAACAAAAAUGUGAAAAGCGUGGCACUAAACAGACCAUGAAAAGCACACUUGUUCAGUGUGAGCUGAAACAAGAAGGCAGAGCAUCGUGUGCUGGACUUCAGCCACACACGUGUGCACAGGAGGACUCAAAAUUUUCAGUGCUCUGCACAUGACUGAAAAGGACCGUGAAAGCGAG